rnacentral:rRNA from 1 species
GAGUUUGAUCCUGGCUCAGAUUGAACGCUGGCGGCAUGCCUAACACAUGCAAGUCGAACGAGAAAGUUCCUUCGGGAGCGAGUACAGUGGCGGACGGGUGAGUAAUGCAUGGGAAUCUGCCCAGUAGUGGGGAAUAACCCGGGGAAACUCGGGCUAAUACCGCAUACGUCCUACGGGAGAAAGCGGGGGAUCUUCGGACCUCGCGCUACUGGAUGAGCCCAUGUCAGAUUAGCUUGUUGGUGGGGUAAUGGCCUACCAAGGCAACGAUCUGUAGCUGGUCUGAGAGGACGAUCAGCCACACUGGGACUGAGACACGGCCCAGACUCCUACGGGAGGCAGCAGUGGGGAAUAUUGGACAAUGGGCGAAAGCCUGAUCCAGCAAUGCCGCGUGUGUGAAGAAGGCCUGCGGGUUGUAAAGCACUUUCAUCAGGGACGAAAAACCCGGGGCGAAUACCCCCGGGCCUUGACUUAACCUGAACAAGAAGCACCGGCUAACUCCGUGCCAGCAGCCGCGGUAAUAC